UUUCUCUCCCCUUCUCCCCCUCUCUGGAGCUCACGGUCCCCUGCACACAAAAUUCGAACCAGACCACCGCCCACCCCUCUUUCCCUCCUGGGCUCAGCUCCCCGGCCUCCCGCAGCUCCUUUCCCCACGCCCCGCACCAAGCCCCGCGCUUUCAAGCGAGGGGGCGGGAGAAAGUCGUGUGUAUGUGUCCCCCCCCCUUCAGAGGGGGGCGAGAGAAGCUUAGGCUCGGGGCGGGGGGCGGCAGUGGGGGUGAGACGGGCUCGUUUCUCCUGCUCUCGUUCGCUCGCGGCCGCCCGCCCGCUCGCGGAAGACGAUUUCGGGGGAUCCAGGACCAGAUUUCGGCUGCGUGUGCGGGGGACCAGAAAGCCGAGCCAUCUGGCCCCCCGUCUGCACGGGGUGUGGAGAUGCGCUCCAGAGGUCAAUAAAGCCCCUCCAAAAAUGAUAAAUGACCGGGUACCUGCGAUGAUGCGAGUGAUUAUCGGAGCAAUUAAACCGUUUGAUUAAAUGAGCCGUCAUAACAAUGAUGGCUUCGGGAAAACCGCCCGCACAUAAAGGAGGCCGGUCCUGGGAGGGGAGAGGUGAUUCCGCUUCGCCGGCCGGGGCAAGGAGUCCGAGCCGGCCAGUCCGAGUCCGGGACCCGGGCCAGCGGCCACCGGGCCAGAGAAGUAGAGGAGAGCUGGAGCUGGUCUGAUGAUUGGUUUUCAAAAAGAAGACUCACCCGGCUCUUCUGAGCCUCUCUUAGCGCUAUCAAAGCCAGCAGGAGCGCGCACCUAAGGCAGCGUCCACCCGGAGUAUCGGGGUUCAUCUUUUCUGUCCUCCUUUCCCUCUUUCUAGGGGGCCCCCGCCCCGCCAAACCACCUCGGGGGCCUCGUCCCUUUACUCCCGGACGGGUGAGGAAAAGGUGAGUCCGGAAAAAGAGGAGAAAAAGCCGGCAGGUUCGCGGAUCUCGUUUCAAUGCCGGAACAGGGAUUUCUGUGAAUUCGCAGCAGCGGAGUUUUAGAAGACGGGUGAUUGUCACCGUUGCGGGCCACUUCGACUUCUCUCUCCUUCUCCCUCUCCCUCCCCAUCUCCUUCCGCCCGGAGAAAUUCUGAAACUUUUCCUUGAAAAAAAUCCAAAAACUAAAAAAAAAAAAAAAA